GCUCAACUGGAAGAGGAGUUUGUGGCGUUUCAGAAGCUGAAUCAGAAUUCCAGCGGUUCGAACCCGCUGCUGGAUC
rnacentral:tRNA from 1 species